UCUUUUAUAGUUUACGAGUUUAAAAUAUUAUAUUUUCAGUAUAAAGAAGUUUAUCUAAAAGUA
rnacentral:tRNA from 1 species